rnacentral:rRNA from 1 species
CAAUAGCGUAUAUUAAAGUUGUUGCAGUUAAAAAGCUCGUAGUUGAAAUACUGACAUAGUCGACCGGUCUCACGCAUUGUCGUGAGCACUUGUGUUGUAUUAGGUCAUUCUUGGAUUUUAGCCAGUCUGGCAUUAAGUUGUCGGGUUGGUGAAAACCAUCGUUUACUGUGAAAAAUUAGAGUGUUCAAAGCAGGCCUACGCUUGAAUACAUUAGCAUGGAAUAAUGGAAUAGGACUUCGGAACUAUUUUGUUGGUUUGCGUUACGAAGUAAUGAUUAAUAGGGACAGUUGGGGGUAUUCGUAUUUCAUUGUCAGAGGUGAAAUUCUUGGAUUUCUGAAAGACGAACUACUGCGAAAGCAUUUACCAAGGAUGUUUUCAUUAAUCAAGAACGAAAGUUAGGGGAUCGAAGAUGAUUAGAUACCAU